CAAUAGCGUAUAUUUAAGUUGCUGCAGUUAAAAAGCUCGUAGUUGGAUUUCGGGUGGGAAUGGCCGGUCCGCCGUUUCGGUGUGCACUUGCUACGCCCACCUUGCUGCCGGUGACGUGCUCUUGAGUUCACGCUCGGGACACGGAGUCGGCGAGGUUACUUUGAGUAAAUUAGAGUGUUCAAAGCAGGCCUACGCUCUGAAUACAUUAGCAUGGAAUAACACGAUAGGACUCUGGCCUAUCUUGUUGGUCUGUAGGACCGGAGUAAUGAUUAAGAGGGACAGUCGGGGGCAUUCGUAUUUCAUUGUCAGAGGUGAAAUUCUUGGAUUUAUGAAAGACGAACUACUGCGAAAGCAUUUGCCAAGGAUGUUUUCAUUAA
rnacentral:rRNA from 1 species